AGAGUUUGAUCAUGGCUCAGGAUGAACGCUGGCGGCGUGCCUAACACAUGCAAGUCGAGCGAUCUUCUUCGGAAGAGAGCGGCGGACGGGUGAGUAACGCGUGGGUAACCUGCCUCAUACACAUGGAUAACAUACCGAAAGGUAUGCUAAUACAAGAUGAUAUAAGAGAUUCGCAUGGAUUUCUUAUCAAAGCCCCGGCGGUAUGAGAUGGACCCGCGUCUGAUUAGCUAGUUGGUAAGGUAAUGGCUUACCAAGGCGACGAUCAGUAGCCGACCUGAGAGGGUGAUCGGCCACAUUGGAACUGAGACACGGUCCAAACUCCUACGGGAGGCAGCAGUGGGGAAUAUUGCACAAUGGGCGAAAGCCUGAUGCAGCAACGCCGCGUGAGCGAUGAAGGCCUUCGGGUCGUAAAGCUCUGUCCUCAAGGAAGAUAAUGACGGUACUUGAGGAGGAAGCCCCGGCUAACUACGUG
rnacentral:rRNA from 1 species